rnacentral:lncRNA from 1 species
GGCUGCACCAUUAACCUUGCUCUAAGCCCCCGCCGGUGCAGCGGCGCCGAAGGGAAUCAGCAGCAGCAGCAGGCAGCAGCUGGUGCGAGGUACGGAAACGGAAUAAUCCUCGCGCAGGAAAGGGCAAACCGGCCGCCGCCCACGCCGUCCAGCGUCGGAGAUCCACGAGACCGUAGCCGGACGGCGCCGCGUGGCGGGGCGCCACGGCGCACGGGAUCCCGCGCCGCGGAACAGCCACACCGGGGCCGGUGGGCGCCCACUUCCGGCCCACACACCACCUGCCCGAAGCGUAACCGGCGGCGUUUUUACAACUUUGCUGGUACACAAAUGGAGAAGUACCCAUCACCAUGGACCGCUAUCUGA